GCGACCGCCGCAAGGAUCGCGAGAAGAGGCGGCUCCGACGGAGACUCCCGCCCCGCGGACUCGGUGGCCCCGCCCCUGCAGAGGCUGAUUGGCCUAGCGCGAGGAAAAGUGGUGCGCCCCCUGUGCCCCCGUUACCUUGUGCUUUCCUGCCUGGACAUCUGCUCCCUUUGCCUGAAAUGUCCUCCUUUGCCGCCUCUGCCUACUCCCCCUCCCACCCCACAUCUGGGCCUUAUUUUAGCUUCAUAGACUCUCAGGGCCUGAAGUUCAGCUAGCCUAAUUGCAUGUUCAUUGACACAAUUCUACAAGGAAGUCGUGUAUGAACUUACAUGAAGACUCCUAAGAAGCGUCUUAAUGCGGAAAACAUUUAUUGAGAACGUGCUGUGUGCCAGGCACAUAGUGAAACCCACAUGAAAAGGUAGUCCCCGUCCUCAUGGAGUGCACUGCCUAGGCUAGCAGAGGAGUGAGGAAGGGUCAAAUGGCCCCAUAGGAAAGGAUCUAGCAAAGCACUCUGGAGGGUGAUUGGCAGUGUGGUUACUACUGUUUGCAUAGAAGUUUGGGAAAUGCUCUUUUUAGGGGUAUUUUUUGUACUACCCUCAGGGCUUGUGGUUGGCAAAGGAAUUUCUAUGGCUUAGCUCAUCCCUGACUCACAGCAGACGUCCUGGGAGUGUCUGUGGAAACUCUGAGGGGCCAAGUAAACAGUCCUGGUGGCCUGACUUGAUUUAAAGAGAGGGUUUGGAGGACCUGGAAGAAGGAGACCCUCGCAAUCUCUAUCAAGCUAAAGUGGUCUGGAACUUUCAACAGGAACUGAACAGCUGGUGGUUCCAGACCAAAAUUUCUAGCAAAGGCCAGGACCACUAUGGCAUGUUGUUGAUUGAAGUGAAAACUAUGUCCUUCAAAACCUCAGGUGUGUGAGUGACAAAAAGAUUGGCAUGUACCUUCAUCUGGACAAAGGCCAUUCUGCAGACAGCCCAGUAAGGAGGGCUACAGGGCUGCCUGUGGUGGGAUCAAGAUUUUCAGCUGAUGGAAGCUUUGGUUGGAUGCAACCAUUCUGCCUCAUUAUAGCUGUAACAAAUGUGGCUCUUUGAUCCUUACAACAAGAGAUUCUUACAAAAUGAUCAUGGUCUUUUUGUGGAUAGGGAAGCUGAAGCCAAAGGAGGACACGAACGGCUCCAGCUCUCAGAAUGUUUGUAUUAAUCAUUAAUGCCAACAAUCUGGUUUGCUUGUUAAUAGACUCAUGGUAGAAGUGCAUUUUCUUGUCCCCUUGAAGUCGGGAGUGGCAUUGGAUGUGCUUGGGUCAGUGAAAUGUGUAAAGUAACAUGCAUUGCUUCAAGCAGAAGCAUUUCAUUUCCAGUUUAGACUCUUUCCCAUACUCUUUCGUCUUGGUAGUGAUUACUGAUCAUGACGAUGAAAGCAUAUAUCAAAACGAACCUUGUGUCAGCAUUAGUCCCUGAGUUAGCAUAAUAAGCUUAACCCCCCUGCUAACCCAUACAGAACAGGUACCCUCUGUUGAAUUAAACUGUGAGAUUCAAGGGGUAUUUGUUCCUGUGACAUAACAUAGACUGUUCCGGCUAAUGGAAAGAUGAAAUUCAAGUCCACAACACCAACAUUACCAUCCAGGAGCUCUGUCAUCUUAGGCAAAUGACCUAAUCUCUCUGGACCUUAUUUUCUGUCAAAUGGUGCUAAUGAUAGCACCUACCUUCCAAGAUUAUAGAAGGAAUAAAUGAGUAAAUUUAUGUGCAAUGUUUAGAACAGUUUCUGGUGCAUAGUAAACACUCAUGUUGAUGUUGAUGCUGCUACUACAAUUCUGACUCCAGCUUUGUAUUCUUCUUCUUAUCUCAUGCUUGCAAAAAGUGAUCUGGGAAGAACAUUUUUAAGUAUGGGUGUUACCAGUCAACUCUCAAAACCUGCAGUUAUGAAAAAACCCUUUUACCCAGGGAGAAAUGUCACCAAAUUCCACAUGAUAGUAGCUG
rnacentral:lncRNA from 1 species